UACAUAGGUGUGCUGGGAAUAGAGACGUUCCUGGGGAGCUUAUUCAUUUUACAGGGCUGCCUUAGGCUAAGAUUUGGGACUGGGUGAGGUGGGAGCCUAACUUUACCCUGUGGCAGAUUGCUUCAAGUGACCCUUUUUCCCUCCUCCAGUAAUUUGCUCCACGUUCUGUCCAAGUCUGGAAUUUAAAUACAGUGAGAUCACAUCCGUGAAUUUUUCUGCUAUUUGUGAAGGUACUCAAGAUGCCCAACAGUUCCUCCACUGUAUCUCAAGGCCUUCUGGGACUCCAUUUUUGAGCCAAGACUGUGCCCACAAGAGGCGUCACCUCCUGCCUGGUGAGCUUUU
rnacentral:lncRNA from 1 species